rnacentral:rRNA from 1 species
AUACGUAGGUGGCAAGCGUUGUCCGGAAUUAUUGGGCGUAAAGGGCGUGUAGGUGGAUGAUUAAGUCUUGUGUCUAAGUGCGGAGCUCAACUCCGUAUGGGCGCGGGAAACUGGUUAUCUUGAGUGCAGGAGAGGAAAGUGGAAUUCCCAGUGUAGCGGUGAAAUGCGUAGAUAUUGGGAGGAACACCAGUGGCGAAGGCGACUUUCUGGACUGUGUCUGACACUGUGGCGCGAAAGCUAGGGGAGCGAACGGGAUUAGAUACCCCGGUAGUCCUAGCCGUAAACGAUGGGUACUAGGUGUAGAGGGUAUCGACCCCCUCUGUGCCGCAAGCAAACGCAAUAAGUACCCCGCCUGGGGAGUACGGCCGCAAGGUUGA